AUGUCACGUACUACAAUGUCAUAAUGUC
rnacentral:piRNA from 1 species